rnacentral:rRNA from 1 species
UGAAAACGACUGCUAAGACUGGAUAGGAGACAAGAAGGCAUCUUCUUGUUUUUAAAAGACCUAGCAAUAGGUAUGCUUAGGGAGGAGCUUGUGUCACAUUAGUUAGUUGGUGGGGUAAAGGCCUACCAAGACUAUGAUGUGUAGCCGGGCUGAGAGGUUGAACGGCCACAUUGGGACUGAGACACGGCCCAAACUCCUACGGGAGGCAGCAGUAGGGAAUUUUCGGCAAUGGAGGAAACUCUGACCGAGCAACGCCGCGUGAACGAUGAAGUAUUUCGGUACGUAAAGUUCUUUUAUUAGGGAAGAAUAAAUGAUGGAAAAAUCAUUCUGACGGUACCUAAUGAAUAAGCCCCGGCUAACUAUGUGCCAGCAGCCGCGGUAAUACAUAGGGGGCAAGCGUUAUCCGGAAUUAUUGGGCGUAAAGGGUGCGUAGGCGGUUAAAUAAGUUUAUGGUCUAAGUGCAAUGCUCAACAUUGUGAUGCUAUAAAAACUGUUUAGCUAGAGUAAGAUAGAGGCAAGUGGAAUUCCAUGUGUAGUGGUAAAAUGCGUAAAUAUAUGGAGGAACACCAGUAGCGAAGGCGGCUUGCUGGGUCUUUACUGACGCUGAGGCACGAAAGCGUGGGGAGCAAACAGGAUUAGAUACCCUGGUAGUCCACGCCGUAAACGAUGAGUACUAAACGUUGGGUAAAACCAGUGUUGAAGUUAACACAUUAAGUACUCCGCCUGAGUAGUACGUACGCAAGUAUGAAACUUAAAGGAAUUGACGGGACUCCGCACAAGCGGUGGAUCAUGUUGUUUAAUUCGAAGGUACCCGAAAAACCUCACCAGGUCUUGACAUGCUUCUGCAAAGCUGUAGAAACACAGUGGAGGUUAUCAGUUGCACAGGUGGUGCAUGGUUGUCGUCAGCUCGUGUCGUGAGAUGUUGGGUUAAGUCCCGCAACGAGCGCAACCCUUAUUGUUAGUUACCAGCACGUAAUGGUGGGGACUUUAGCAAGACUGCCAGUGAUAAAUUGGAGGAAGGUGGGGACGACGUCAAAUCAUCAUGCCCCUUAUGACCUGGGCUACAAACGUGAUACAAUGGCUGUUACAAAGGGUAGCUGAAGCGCAAGUUUUUGGCGAAUCUCAAAAAAACAGUCUCAGUUCGGAUUGAAGUCUGCAACUCGACUUCAUGAAGUUGGAAUCGCUAGUAAUCGCGAAUCAGCAUGUCGCGGUGAAUACGUUCUCGGGGUUUGUACACACCGCCCGUC